AUAUUUUAUUAGUGCUAAUAGAAGUCGAGAAAUUAUUCCGACUGCAACGCAGAUUAAAUAUACGUAUUUAAUUUAUACACGAAUAAUGAGCAGAAGCCAGUAUUUGAUUGCAAAAACGCGAUUAAAUAUACAGAAUCAAUCAAGAAGACAACCAAAUCAAUUAGCAAAAGCAAAAGUUUUUUUUUUCCAAUCAAUUAAAGUUUACACGCCUUUGCUCCACCAAACUUCCCACCUACUCCAUCAGCUACCCACCACCCUUUGCUCCCCACCAUAUUCGAUUCUUUAAGGCUAUUAUCAGCCCUUUUACUCAUUCCUUAGUUCUUCAACAACCAAAGGAAUGAGAGAUUUCAUUUACUGCUGCCAAACUUCGAACAUGUAAGCUUUGGUUUAAGUUUUUCCACCAGUCCAUUCUUGAUUCCCCUGCAUAUGUCAAUAAGCAUCUGAAAAUUUCAGCUAUCUCCUCAUUAAAUUCAAUGGCAACAAACAGCCACCAACAACAAGCAAUUACAGGUUGAGCUGUGAUGGGCGAUGAAGUGUUGUUGCUGAGUGGAGUUUUUGUCGAACUUAAAGUAGGCUCAGAAAGGGUACAUGUCUUCAUACAUGUAUCUCAGUUAUGCAUUCCGCUGUAAACACUGAUUAUUUCAGUUACGCCUUCCGUUGCAAACUCUGAUAAUAUUUUAGCCAAGCCCCUAACGAUGCCUUUUUCCUUUUAAGGAAUAUAACGCGUAUACAAGUUCUUUGAGUACCCUUUUUAUGCGAACUAUGCCUUUUUCCUUUUAAGGAAUAUAACACGUAUACAAGUUCUUUGA